GUUCGCAACACCUCCGCCGACUCUCCGCUUUCUCUGUAGAAGAGCAUCCAUCUCCUUUGUGCUAAGGACUUGCCCAUGGUUUUGCCCCAGUGUGUUUGUCCUGGAUUGCAGUUCUCUGCUAUUCCCAGCUACCCAAGGGGACGGCAUUUCAUUAAUAAAGAGUGAUUAUGUUCACAUAAUCCUGGCAGUGGGGAAGAAGAGGGUACUACUGAAUCACCGCAGGUGAAGUGGUAAGAACAGAAUGGCCAAUCUUAGUCAUCAGAAGUCCAACGUCUCAUCGGACUUACAGCCCUCUAGAGCUCCAUGUGGUCAAGUACUAAGAGUAUGUACAUUUCCUUCUCUGAACAAGUUAGACUUGUGGUCACCUCUCAUUCUAUCUUGCAUUGAAAAAAAAAAAAACAACUUUCCGCUGAGAAAGGAAAAAGAAAUCAUUCUUCUCUCAUUUUUUAUUAAAGAUUGACUACAUAAAA